rnacentral:rRNA from 1 species
AGAGUUUGAUCCUGGCUCAGGACGAACGCUGGCGGCGCGCCUAACACAUGCAAGUCGAAGGAGAGCGUGUUUUGAAUUCUUCGGAAGGAAAGAUACGUUUCUUAGUGGCGGACGGGUGGUAACACGUGAGCAACCUGCCUUGCAGAGAGGGAUAACGAUUGGAAACGAUCGCUAAUACACAUAACAUACAGAUAUCGCAUGAUGACUGUAUCAAAGAUUUAUCGCUGCAAGAUGGGUCGCGUCUGAUUAGAUAGUUGGUGGGGUAACGGCUCACCAAGUCGACGAUCAGUAGCCGACUGAGAGGUUGAACGGCCACAUUGGGACUGAGACACGGCCCAGACUCCUACGGGAGGCGCAGUGGGGGAUAUUGCACAAUGGGGGAAACCCUGAUGCAGCGACGCCGCGUGAGGGAAAAGGUUUUCGGAUUGUAAACCUCUGUCUUUGGGGACGAUAAUGACGGUACCCAAGGAGGAGCUCCGGCUAACUACGUGCCAGCAGCCGCGGUAAUACGUAGGGAGCAAGCGUUGUCCGAAUUACUGGGUGUAAAGGGAGCGUAGGCGGGUUUGUAAGUUGAAUGUGAAAUCUAUGGGUCAACCCAUAAACUGCGUUCAAAACUGCAGAUCUUGAGUGGAGUAGAGGCAGGCGGAAUCCUAGUGUAGCGGUGAAAUGCGUAGAUAUUAGGAGGAACACCAGUGGCGAAGCGGCCUGUGGGCUCUAACUGACGCUGAGGCUCGAAAGCGUGGGUAGCAAACAGGAUUAGAUACCCUGUAGUCCACGCCGUAAACGAUGAUUACUAGGUGUGGGGAUGUAAGUUUCCGUGCCGGAGUAACACAAUAAGUAAUCCACCUGGGGAGUACGACCGCAAGGUUGAAACUCAAAGGAAUUACGGGGGCC